UACAGAGGUCCCGAGCGUUGUUCGGAUUCACUGGGCGUAAAGGGGGCGUAGGUGGCUUGAAAAGUUUGAUGUGAAAGCUCAGGGCUUAACCCUGAAAUGGCAUUGAAAACUGUCGGGCUGGAGGUUUGGAGGGGGGACUGGAAUUCUUGGUGUAGCAGUGAAAUGCGUAGAUAUCAAGAGGAACACCAGUGGCGAAGGCGAGUCCCUGGACAACACCUGACACUGAGGCACGAAAGCUAGGGGAGCAAACAGG
rnacentral:rRNA from 1 species